CAGCAGCCGCGGGAAUACAGAGGGUGCGAGCGUUAAUCGGAUUUACUGGGCGUAAAGCGUGCGUAGGCGGCUUCUUAAGUCGGAUGUGAAAUCCCUGAGCUUAACUUAGGAAUUGCAUUCGAUACUGGGAAGCUAGAGUAUGGGAGAGGAUGGUAGAAUUCCAGGUGUAGCGGUGAAAUGCGUAGAGAUCUGGAGGAAUACCGAUGGCGAAGGCAGCCAUCUGGCCUAAUACUGACGCUGAGGUACGAAAGCAUGGGGAGCAAACAGGACUAGAGACCCCUGUAGUCCCUGUCUCUUAUAC
rnacentral:rRNA from 1 species